rnacentral:rRNA from 1 species
CAAGCGGUGGAUUAUGUGGAUUAAUUCGAUGCAACGCGAAAAACCUUACCUACCCUUGACAUGUCCGGGAGCCUGCUGAGAGGCGGGUGUGCUCGAAAGAGAACCGGAACACAGGUGCUGCAUGGCUGUCGUCAGCUCGUGUCGUGAGAUGUUGGGUUAAGUCCCGCAACGAGCGCAGCCCUUGCCAUUAGUUGCCACCCGUAAGGGGGCACUCUAAUGGGACUGCCGGUGACAAACCGGAGGAAGGUGGGGAUGACGUCAAGUCCUCAUGGCCCUUAUGGGUAGGGCUUCACACGUAAUACAAUGGCGCGUACAGAGGGUAGCCAAGGGGCGACCUGGAGCCAAUCCCUUAAAGCGCGUCGUAGUCCGGAUUGCAGUCUGCAACUCGACUGCAUGAAGUCGGAAUCGCUAGUAAUCGCGGAUCAGCAUGUCGCGGUGAAUACGUUCCCGGGUCUUGUACACACC